rnacentral:rRNA from 1 species
UCGGGAAUUUUGGGCAAUGGGCGAAAGCCUGACCCAGCAACGCCGCGUGAAGGAUGAAAUCCUUCGGGAUGUAAACUUCGCAAGAACAGGAAGAAUAAGUGUGCGCGAAUAGCGCAGGCGAUGACGGUACUGUUUGUAAGCUCCGGCUAACUCCGUGCCAGCAGCCGCGGUAAUACGGGGGGAGCAAGCGUUGUUCGGAUUUACUGGGCGUAAAGGGCGCGUAGGCGGCCACUGCAAGUCAGUUGUGAAAUCUCCGGGCUUAACUCGGAAAGGUCAACUGAUACUGCAGGGCUAGAGUGCGGAAGGGGCAACUGGAAUUCUCGGUGUAGCGGUGAAAUGCGUAGAUAUCGAGAGGAACACCUGCGGCGAAGGCGGGUUGCUGGGCCGACACUGACGCUGAGGCGCGAAAGCUAGGGGAGCGAACGG